rnacentral:rRNA from 1 species
UACGUAGGGGGCGAGCGUUGUCCGAAUUUACUGGGCGUAAAGCGCGCGUAGGCGGGCCGUUAAGUGAGAGGUGAAAGGCUGGGGCUCAACCGCAGCAGUGCCUCUCAUACUGGCGGUCUUGAGGGCGGUAGGGGGAAGUGGAAUGGCUGGUGUAGCGGUGAAAUGCGUAGAUAUCAGUCGGAACACCGGUGGCGAAGGCGGCUUCUUGGGCCGUUCCUGACGCUGAGGCGCGAAAGCCAGGGGAGCGAACGGGAUUAGAUACCCCGGUAGUCCUGGCCGUAAACGAUGGAUACUAGGUGCUGGGGGUAUCGACCCCUCCGGUGCCGCAGCUAACGCAAUAAGUAUCCCGCCUGGGGAGUACGGCCGCAAGGUUG